GGGUACCCUGAGUUGAGGACAGAUCAGAAUUUGAAGAUUAAAAGGGUUCAUCAAGUUCAAGACAGGACUGAUGGUGAACUCCAAAACCCCUCCUCUUGUAUGUGGGCUAGACUUAGUGGCUUGCAUCAAAGGAAUAGUAUUUGGCAGAAACAAUGCUCUGUAUCUUUUGAAGACAGGUCCUAAAGAGGAUAGCUUCUGUCUGGUUUCUAUCUCUUGGAUCCCUUACUCGAGGCAUAGCCAGCUGCUUUGUCAUGAGGAUGUUCAAGCAGUCCCUGGGAGAGGCCCAUGUGGGGAGGAACUGAGGUCUCUCACCAACAGCCAUUACCGAUGUCACUUUGGAAACGGAUUCUCCAGCCCAGUCAAGCCUUCAGAUGACUGCAGCCCCUGCUGACAUCUUGACUGCAACCUCAUAAGAGAUCCUGAGCCAGAACCACCCAGAGUAAACUCCAAUACGGUUCAUAGAAAGCACACAACAUUCUUAAGAGAGUUUUGUUGUCGGAAACACUGCCAGCUUGGACUGAAAGGGAUUCCUUUGGACUCCAAAACUUCUACCAGCAGGAAACAGACUGAGAAAACUCGUCGACGGCAAACUUGAGCUGUUUUGCAAGUGAAAAUAAGAAUAACUCAGAAGCCAGAAUCAAGAGUCCAAAGGGCAGAGGGAAGAGCCAUGGAGUAGUAUCGCCAGGCCUAGAGUCUAAUCAACUGCCCUGGUCAGUUUCAGAAUUGCUGUGGAUCGGAUACUUCUGUGAAUUUCUUUUUCUCUCUUUUUGAAUGGGAAAGUCUAUGGUUCUA
rnacentral:lncRNA from 1 species